UACGGAGGGGGCGAGCGUUAUUCGGAAUUAUUGGGCGUAAAGGGCGCGUAGGCGGCUGAACAAGUCAAAGGUGAAAUCCCUCGGCUCAACUGAGGAACUGCCUUUGAAACUGUUCGGCUUGAGGCCGGGAGGGGGUAGCGGAAUUCCCAGUGUAGCGGUGAAAUGCGUAGAUAUUGGGAGGAACACCAGUGGCGAAGGCGCUACCUGGACCGGUUCUGACGCUGAGGCGGCGAAAAGCGUGGGUAGCAAACAGGA
rnacentral:rRNA from 1 species